UAGGGAAUCUUCCGCAAUGGGCGAAAGCCUGACGGAGCAACGCCGCGUGAGUGAUGAAGGUCUUCGGAUCGUAAAACUCUGUUAUUAGGGAAGAACAAAUGUGUAAGUAACUAUGCACGUCUUGACGGUACCUAAUCAGAAAGCCACGGCUAACUACGUGCCAGCAGCCGCGGUAAUACGUAGGUGGCAAGCGUUAUCCGGAAUUAUUGGGCGUAAAGCGCGCGUAGGCGGUUUUUUAAGUCUGAUGUGAAAGCCCACGGCUCAACCGUGGAGGGUCAUUGGAAGCUGGAAAACUUGAGUGCAGAAGAGGAAAGUGGAAUUCCAUGUGUAGCGGUGAAAUGCGGAGAGAUAUGGAGGAACACCAGUGGCGAAGGCGACUUUCUGGUCUGUAACUGACGCUGAUGUGCGAAAGCGUGGGGAUCAAACAGG
rnacentral:rRNA from 1 species